rfam:Otolemur garnettii contig049952, whole genome shotgun sequence.
GCAAAGGUGGUAUUAACCACCAGAAAUAUUUUCAAAAGGUGCUUU